GACGAACGCUGGCGGCGUGCUUAACACAUGCAAGUCGAACGAUGAAGCCUUAGCUUGCUUUGGUGGUUUAGUGGCGAACGGGUGAGUAACACGUGAGUAACGUGCCCAGGACUCUGGAAUAACCGCGGGAAACCGUGGCUAAUACCGGAUAGGUGCCGAGGCCGCAUGGUCUUCGGUUGGAAAGUUUUUGCGGUUCUGGAUCGGCUCACGGCCUAUCAGCUUGUUGGUGGGGUAAUGGCCUACCAAGGCGACGACGGGUAGCCGGCCUGAGAGGGUGACCGGCCACACUGGGACUGAGACACGGCCCAGACUCCUACGGGAGGCAGCAGUGGGGAAUAUUGCACAAUGGGCGGAAGCCUGAUGCAGCAACGCCGCGUGGGGGAUGACGGCCUUCGGGUUGUAAACCUCUUUUAGUAGGGAAGAAGCGCAAGUGACGGUACCUGCAGAAAAAGCACCGGCUAACUACGUG
rnacentral:rRNA from 1 species